AUCGCUUCUCGGCCUUCUGGCUAAGAUCAAGUGUAGUAUAAUUUAUUAGGCUUUAGUUGUUAUUCAUUUUAUUAUUACAGGUGUUUUUCCUAUUAGAAGAAUAUUCACACACUCUCCUCCAUCCCGUUAGCUCGUCUCUGUCAUGGUGGUCACAUC
rnacentral:snRNA from 1 species